AACACCACAUUCCAAAGCCGUUAAGAGACCUAACUGCAGUCACAGAGCCAGAAAUGGUGGUGGAGGAUGGCUAGAAAUGAACAAAAUGGUUCCUAAUGCGUGCUAGAGUUGACACAAAUUCCUCAGUGACCUCUGGUUAUUGUAACUGAAUGAUAUGCUAAGCACACUAUUAUCCGGGUCAGUAACUGCACCUACAACCCAUCCAGCUCUUGUCUGCAUUGUUACUUGCAGGCCAUUGGUUGUGACUGAGAAGAAAAAAAGGGACAUAUUCCUAACUUUAAUCAAAUCGUCAAUGAAGUCUAUAAUCCAAAAUGUGUCAUCAGAUUAGAAGAAGCAAGGAAAUUCUGUUUUUUAAAUAGAAAAUCAAGAG